AGAACCUGAAGAAGCUCUCUCUUCGUCAGAACCUCAUCAAUGAUGCUACGGCUGAAUCGCUUUCUCGCUGGAGCGCACUGUCAGGUCUCGAGUGUGAGUCCUAAAGCGAUUCUCGGAUUAGAGAGGUCUAGAACCUGUAGAAGUUCUCUCUUCGUCAGAACCUCAUCAAUGAUGCUAUGGCUGAAUCGAUUUCUUGCUGGAGCGCACUGUCAGGUCUCGAGUGUGAGUCCUAACGCGAUUCUCGGAUUAGAGAGGUCGAGAACUUGAAGAAGGUCUCUCUUCGUCAGAACCUCAUCAAUGAUGCUACCGGCUGAAUCGCUUUCUCGCUGGAACGCACAUGUCAGGUCUCGAGGAAUUUUAUGUAUCUAUGAAUGAAGUUGCUGAAAUGGAAGAGCUAGGUCAUUUUCAACAGUUGCGGAUUCUUGAGCUUGGUUCCACUAGACCGCAGUAUUGUGUUGCUUCGGAAGGACACUAUCUAAGCCAAAAUGGAGUGUUUCAAACUUGGUCAAUCUUCCUAUAUUGAAUGUUUCAUUAAAUAAGCUAAUGAAUGCGAAUAACAUUAAAAAUCUGACAUGGUUUCAUGAAUUUCGUAUCUCCCAUCAUAUGUAACAUGGUUAUGGUUUCCAGGGUGAUAAUCUGGUUACUUCGUUGGAUGUUGCUAAAGACAGCCAAAUAGAACCACUUGAAAGCAUUGCUGAGGAUGUUGCUGGUUCAAGAGAGGAACCGACAACCAUCUACCUCAAGAACAGUAAGUUUCCGUACUGAAUAACUUUUAUGACUAGAAAAUUUGCUUCUGAUCUCUUGGUGCUUCACUAGUGCUAGUGUCUGGAUUUCUGCAUGCUCCAUAUCAGCUAUAAAUUCUACGGGGAAAGGUAUAGGUCUCAUUUUAUAACUUUUUAACUUCAUUCACUUUCCAAACAAAUCGUUCUCAAAAGUUAAAAUUUGAAGAACAAUUUGUGCGUUAUUGUUGCUUUGAAUCUUCAUUGCACAUUUUAACUCUGCAUAUUAUUCAGGAUAAAAUGAUAACAAUAAUAGAAAUAAAUAAUGUAUGACUUUCAAGCUGCAAUUUUGAAGUAAAAUAAUUCCUUCUCUCGUGGAUUAAGUGACCUGAACAAGUUUUCCCCUUAUUGAUCAACCUAGCCUAGCUUUUCUGUGCUUUCUAAUUGUUUGAUUUGGCAGCAGCUUCUCGUCUACAGCCAUAAUGUACAAAAAAUGUCAUUUUUGUCCCUGGCAAAACCAAGGGCAUAGACGUUAAAGUGCUACAAAUGCAACCUAUCUUUGCGUCUUGAUCAGGUGAGUUUCCUCAAUAUUGUAAGUUAAUCAACUGUCUCUCCAAACAAGACCCAAAUUUUCAAAAUCUCUGGAGGAGUAUUUGAAGCUACAUCAGGUAACAUGAGUUUUAAAAACUUUAUGUUCAGGAUACGGAUCGGAAUACUUUUUCUAUGCUAAAUCCAUUGACUAAGUGUUCUUAUAUUAAAUCUUUAAGGAUUUUCCCUAUGGUUUUCUUGUUUUGUAAUCUACUU